UACGGGGGGGGCAAGCGUUGUUCGGAAUUACUGGGCGUAAAGGGCUCGUAGGCGGCCAACUAAGUCGGACGUGAAAUCCCUCGGCUUAACUGAGGAACUGCGUCCGAUACUGGAUGGCUCGAGAUCGGGAGAGGGAUGUGGAAUUCCAGGUGUAGCGGUGAAAUGCGUAGAUAUCUGGAGGAACACCGGUGGCGAAGGCGGCAUCCUGGACCGACACUGACGCUGAUGAGCGAAAGCCAGGGGAGCAAACGGG
rnacentral:rRNA from 1 species